CACCGACAUCAGGGAUUCAUUCUGCGAACCCUGGCCGACGGCGAGAUAGGAGCACAUGCCCAGCUCGCGCAUCUGCUGUUCGCCAAUCACGCGGGUAGUGACGUUUUUGCUGUAGGAGUCCGCCAGCUGGCGCGCGUGGGAGGCGAGAUAGGCCGGGUUACAGAUAUUUGGCGGCAUAUUGCCAAGAUCUUUCGC
rfam:Enterobacter cloacae S611 EDP2.NODE_1917, whole genome shotgun sequence.